CGAUCUUGAAAUUCCAGAUCUAGAAGAUGAUACGGAUCAAGCAUUGUCAAACGAAACAGAUGAUUGUGAUAAUGAAAUUGAAAACAUAAAGCCUGCAGACGAUAAAUUUCCUCCAAUUAAUAGAAAAAGCUCCAGUCGUUCUACAUUUGCAAAUGCUGAAUAUACUACGACCCUUGCAAAUAAUGAGAAUACUAUUUCUCUUACAAAUCCACAGGUAAAAAAGGGCCGAGUGCUAAUUCCCUGGACAAAAGAACAAAAACGAUUUGCCGAAAUAUUUUUCAGACAUCAUUUACUUCAUAAAAAGCCACCAAAGAAAGGGGAAUGUGAAGAACUAAAAAAAUGCCACUCGUCCACCUAUAAAAACAAAACGUGGCAACAAAUAAAAAUAUUCAUU